rnacentral:rRNA from 1 species
GGUUAAGUGACUAAGCGUACACGGUGGAUGCCUUGGCAGUCAGAGGCGAUGAAGGACGUAUUAACUUGCGAUAAGCCCAGAUUAGGUAGUAAAAACCAUUUGAGUCUGGGAUUUCCGAAUGGGGAAACCCAAUACCAUAAGGUAUUACUGUUGAGUGAAUACAUAGCUCAACAGGGCGAACCGGGGGAACUGAAACAUCUAAGUACCCCGAGGAAAAGAAAUCAACCGAGAUUCCGAAAGUAGCGGCGAGCGAAAUUGGACUAGCCCUUAAGCUUUACACGCGUUAGACGAACGGUCUGGAAAGGCCGACGAUACAGGGUGAUAGUCCCGUAGUUGACGACGUGUGUUCAGUGAAAUCGAGUAGGGCGGGACACGUGAUAUCCUGUCUGAAUAUGGGGGGACCAUCCUCCAAGGCUAAAUACUACUGACUGACCGAUAGUGAACCAGUACCGUGAGGGAAAGGCGAAAAGAACCCCUGUGAGGGGAGUGAAAUAGAACCUGAAACCGUGUACGUACAAGCAGUAGGAGCAGGCUUUGUCCUGUGACUGCGUACCUUUUGUAUAAUGGGUCAGCGACUUAUAUUCAGUGGCAAGGUUAACCAUCUAGGGGAGCCGUAGGGAAACCGAGUCUUAACUGGGCGUUCAGUCUCUGGAUAUAGACCCGAAACCAGGUGAUCUAGCCAUGGGCAGGUUGAAGGUUGAGUAACAUCAACUGGAGGACCGAACCGACUAAUGUUGAAAAAUUAGCGGAUGACUUGUGGCUAGGGGUGAAAGGCCAAUCAAACCUGGAGAUAGCUGGUUCUCCCCGAAAGCUAUUUAGGUAGCGCCUCGGACGAAUACUACUGGGGGUAGAGCACUGUUAAGGCUAGGGGGUCAUCCCGACUUACCAACCCUUUGCAAACUCCGAAUACCAGUAAGUACUAUCCGGGAGACACACGGCGGGUGCUAACGUCCGUCGUGGAGAGGGAAACAACCCAGACCGCCAGCUAAGGUCCCAAAUUACUACUAAGUGGGAAACGAUGUGGGAAGGCUCAGACAGCCAGGAUGUUGGCUUAGAAGCAGCCAUCAUUUAAAGAAAGCGUAAUAGCUCACUGGUCGAGUCGGCCUGCGCGGAAGAUGUAACGGGGCUAAGUA